GCGAACACCACCGCCGGAGCUCUGCCCUCCAUGGUCACGGCGCCGCCGCCGCCGAGCAGUCCCUCAUCAGCACUCGCUGCUGACCGGGGACAACUCGCUAGCCACUGUUGGUGAUCACUCACCAUGGUGGUAGCGGCGGAAGUAAGCCGGCGGCAGGGGCGGGCGGUAUUCUUUUUCAACUCAGUGAUGGUGUGAGGCCGGAAGCCGCGCAUGUGACCUGAACAUUACACCUCCGGUCCUCCGCAGCCGCUGCUCUCAGCUCCUACUGUGGCUCCUCCCGCUGCCUCCCCGGCUCACCCAUACUCCAGUAUAUGUGGAGUGUCUACAACAAGCGGCCGCCUCAAACCCAACGCCUGUCCCUGCUACCUUCUUAUUACAGAUGAAAACACCCAGCAUAUAAUAGAAAGCAUAACUAUUAACUAUAACCUGCAUGGAAAUACAAAACACUUGGAGUGGACUUUCACAAUACUCACACAAAUCGUCUGUAGCUGGGAAUAGAAGAUUGUGCAUUGGGCAUAAAAGAGUUUAUUCUAUCUUCUGUAUCUCCAAAAGCAAACUACCGGAAAGAUGCAGUGUAAAGGUAGAAUCUUUCCCCAGAGUGUAGAGGACAAUAAAUACAUACAUUGAAGUGAAGAGUGAAUGAAAUGUUAGGAGAGGAGAAGCCCGCAACAGCCGUAAAUCUAGUAUCAGUCCACUGCAAAGCACUCAAGGAAGGAAGCAGCCUGCAGCAGCUGGAGCCUGGUAUCAAUCCAUUGUAGAGAAGACCAUGGAAAGAGGAAUCUAUAGUCUUAUGGCUUUAUCCAAUUCUAUAGCUGUUUAGGAA